UACGAAGGGGGCUAGCGUUGCUCGGAAUUACUGGGCGUAAAGGGCGCGUAGGCGGACAGUUUAGUCAGAGGUGAAAGCCCAGGGCUCAACCUUGGAAUAGCCUUUGAUACUGACUGUCUUGAGUUCGGGAGAGGUGAGUGGAAUGCCGAGUGUAGAGGUGAAAUUCGUAGAUAUUCGGCGGAACACCAGUGGCGAAGGCGACUCACUGGCCCGAUACUGACGCUGAGGCACGAAAGCGUGGGGAGCAAACAGG
rnacentral:rRNA from 1 species